rnacentral:rRNA from 1 species
UAGUCCACACCGUAAACGAUGAUUACUAGUUGGUGGGAUGCUUGCCGUUUCACUGACGAAGCUAACGCAUUAAGUAAUCCGCCUGGGGAGUACGGCCGCAAGGUUAAAACUCAAAGAAAUUGACGGGGGCCCGCACAAGCGGUGGAGUAUGUGGUUUAAUUCGAGGCAACGCGAAGAACCUUACCUGGUCUUGACAUCCCGCGCAAUCCUAAGAAAUUAGGAGUUCCUUCGGGACGCGGUGACAGGUGCUGCAUGGCUGUCGUCAGCUCGUGUCGUGAGAUGUUGGGUUAAGUCCCGCAACGAGCGCAACCCUUGCCAUUAGUUGCUAGCCUUAAGUUGGGCACUCUAAUGGGACCGCUUGCCGAUAAGGCAGAGGAAGGUGGGGAUGACGUCAAGUCCGCAUGGCCCUUACGACCAGGGGCUACACACGUACUACAAUGGCCUAUACAAAGCGCAGCGAGACAGUGAUGUUAAGCAAAUCG